UACGGGGGGAGCAAGCGUUGUUCGGAAUUACUGGGCGUAAAGCGCACGUAGGUGGUUUGCUAAGUCAGCUGUGAAAUCCCCGGGCUCAACCUGGGCACUGCAGUUGAAACUGGCAAGCUAGAGUAGGGUAGAGGGGUGUGGAAUUCCAGGUGUAGCGGUGAAAUGCGUAGAUAUCGGAAGGAACAUCAGUGGCGAAAGCGGCUUCCUGGUCCAGCACCGACGUCAGGCACGAAAGCGUGGGGAGCAAACAGGG
rnacentral:rRNA from 1 species